rnacentral:lncRNA from 1 species
AACUAAGAGAACAAGAUAAGGCUAAGUGUAAAUCUUGUGGGAAAUUACUUGUUCAUAGGUAUACUGGAGAUCAUAGGGACACCGGUAGUUUAGUUAAGCAUAUAAAAUUACACCCUAGCGAUAAGGCUAGAUAUUUCCAGUUGAAAGCGCAACAAGAGGGGAGGACAAGUACUGAUACUACAGUUAACCCAAGUACUGGUUCAAAUCUAGUUCAACCAGGAAUAAACACAGUCANNN